rnacentral:rRNA from 1 species
UAACGUAGCGAAAGUUUACGCUAAUACCGCAUAUUCUGUGAGUCAGGGAAGCAGGGGAUCGCAAGACCUUGCGCUGAUUGAGCGGCCGAUAUCAGAUUAGCUAGUUGGUGAGGUAAAAGGCUCACCAAGGCGACGAUCUGUAGCGGGUCUGAGAGGAUGAUCCGCCACACUGGAACUGAGACACGGUCCAGACUCCUACGGGAGGCAGCAGUGGGGAAUUUUGGACAAUGGGCGCAAGCCUGAUCCAGCCAUGCCGCGUGAGUGAAGAAGGCCUUCGGGUUGUAAAGCUCUUUCGGCCGGGAAGAAAUCGCACAGGUUAAUACCCUGUGUGGAUGACGGUACCGGAAUAAGAAGCACCGGCUAACUACGUG